UCCCCUUCUCUCUCCAUUCUCUCUGAAACUCUUACAAACCCUAGCCAUAUCCAUCAAACUACACCCAUAAUACCUCAUUAAUCUAUGGCCUCAUGUGGUCAUUUAAAACUUGUACCAGCCUUUCAUGGCUUCUGUGUGUUUGUUCUUAUCUCGAGGCCAUAUCUUGAAAGCUUUUGGUCCAGGCCUUGUUCGAUUUUAGUUCAUGACUAUUCUCUGGUCGUCUCUGACCUUUCUCCGGCCAGCCAUGGCCAUUCAGGUCAGUAUUUUGACUCUCUUGCUUAGAUUGAUGGUUUUCAAGGCCUUUCUCAUCACUGGGGUUCUUCUGAAACCCUAACCUCUAAGGUUCUUUGGAUUUCUUUAGUUCUUCUUCAUAUCUAUGUUUUCUUUGAACUUCUAAGCUUUUUUCUCGAAGUUUCUUUUUAAAACUCUGCUUUCAAAACCCCUUAUCUUUUCCAAUUAUGGUUCUUGUUAAGUUAUUUCAAAACUUUUCUCUUAUUUUUUUCACAUGUUUUUGAUAUGUUUGCUCAUACCGUACUUCUAUAUGAGUUUGCAUGUUAAAAGCCCUAAUUUCCUUUGGCUGUUUAUUAGACGGAUACUUUGCUUGCCUGAGUUUUGUCCGAUUUGUUUGUUUAUCCAUCUUCUAAAAUUCUACUAUUGUUGAAAACCCUAUGGCUUUGGGUCUGAGAUUGUUAGUUUAAGUACGUGACUCAAUUUGAAGUUUUUUAUUUCAAAAUCUCUUAUUCUUUUGUGUAAUUCUUUUGACUCUGGUUUUCUAUCUUCUCUAAAACUCGAUUAUGCUCGAAAAUAUAAUUUUUCAAAAGGAUUUUUCCUCACCUGCUACUUUGAGAUCUUCGCAUGCCCUUGAUAUUCUAUGUUUUAUUCACUACUGAUUCAAUGAGACUUGACCUACUGGACUAUCAUGCUUCGAAUGCUACUAUCUACUGAAUUUUGUGCUACUAUUGUAUGUUAUUUCCUUUUGACAACAUGAUUGCCCUCGCAUGUAUAGUGUUUAUUCACCCUAUUUAUAUGUUGAGUUUCCUUCUUUGACUGAUCUUCAAACUUGUGACUGAUUUCAAACUUUUCCUUUGUGAAAUUUCGAAUUUAUUCACCUGUUAAGGUUAACUGAUUUCUUUUCUUGUUUUGUCUUACUAAAUCCUUUCCAAAAUUAGAGUAUUUCUAAACCUAGGCUCGAUUGCUUACUUAAUGUUUUACUACUUCUUUUAUGGCAACUAUCAGCCUGCUGACAAAUUAAUUUCUUUCCUUAUUUUGAACAUGUCACUGCCCGUUAAGCAAGUGAUCUCUUAAUUAAAGGCAACCACUUGUAUAGUUGAUUCUGAAUCAUGAUUGUUUCCAUGUUUAUAGCUUAUUACCUCUCUCUUACUUGUUUUAAAAAAAAACUAUAAAUGCCCUUUACAUCUUUUCUUCCAAAGACAUGAACACAAGGCAAAAACACUUGAGUUCAAACACACAUUCCACUAAAUCUCUCUCUUUUCUCUGUUUCUACUAUAUUGCUGCCUUACCUAGCCAGCUGAAAGCCAAGUCUAGGUCGUGGGAACUUGCUUAUUUUUCUGCAUUUGCAUUUCUUACUUGUAUGUCCUACUUAAGCUUCUGCACCAACAACAACAUGCUUAUUUACUAUUUCUUGCAUUCUUGUCUACCUACUAUUUGUAUUUAACCCAGUACCAUUAUUAAGCAUGUUGUAAUUUCCCUUCUCAUGUUCUAGACUAAUGUAUUAUGAACUGUGAAACCUAAACCCCUACACCAACAUGUUUUAUACUUAUGGUUGGUUUGGAGCUUGACAAAAUUGAAAAUUUGAGGUGCAUGAACCAAACCUGGUUCCCCUAGGAUCAUAACCUCCAUAUUUCUCUCAUAUGUUCUGUGUUCUGAUUAGUUUACAGGUAUGUAAGAACUUCCCAUUGUUGUGUAUGGCCAAAUCUAACCCAUGCCUAAGUGUGUAGGCUCAUUGCAAUACGUUCCCAAUCCUUUGACCCCUUUUGCAUGAGGUUAUUAACUCUGUGAAAUGGCAAAGGUUGUCUCCCUGUCCCUUCUCCUUUAUUCCCUCCGUUUUAAAAACUUUGUUUCUGCACUUUCACCUUUUCUUAGAACUUAAGUUCUGCCCCCUUAUGUGAGCCUUGCCUUGGGACCCAUGAGCUCCAUCUAAACUUGGACACAUAAGGAUUGGCUCUUUCACACUGCACUCAUCUCUAUUCUGGCUAUGUAACUAGGGUGUGAGAACUAUCCAGUGUCCUAUUGAGACCCUUAGGACUGUGACACACUCAAGUCUGAAAAAGUUUUGGAUCAAUGGCAUUUGAGGUGGUUUAUUCCAUAACUCUGAGAGGAUGUGAAAAUUCAUGCUUCCUUUUAUUGUAACUUUUCUUUCUACUUUUCUC
rnacentral:lncRNA from 1 species